AAGACCCCAAUGCGUCGCGGAUGCGGC
rnacentral:rRNA from 1 species